rnacentral:misc_RNA from 1 species
UCACCCCUCAAGCCCUCGGCUUGGUGUUGGACGGCUUGGUCGUGGAAAUCCCGACCCCUCCUAAAGACAAUGACGGCGGCCUGUGGCACCCCCGGUACACUGAGCUUUUUACUGAGCACGUAUCGGACAAGGGCACCCGGGACCCGGUCCUCUCCUUUCACAAGGAAACUUCUAU